rnacentral:rRNA from 1 species
GCAGUAGCCGCGGGAAUACAGAGGGUGCGAGCGUUAAUCGGAUUUACUGGGCGUAAAGCGUGCGUAGGCGGCUUUUUAAGUCGGAUGUGAAAUCCCUGAGCUUAACUUAGGAAUUGCAUUCGAUACUGGGAAGCUAGAGUAUGGGAGAGGAUGGUAGAAUUCCAGGUGUAGCGGUGAAAUGCGUAGAGAUCUGGAGGAAUACCGAUGGCGAAGGCAGCCAUCUGGCCUAAUACUGACGCUGAGGUACGAUAGCAUGGGGAGCAAACAGGAUUAGAUACCCGCGUAGUCCCUGUCUCUUAUAA